UAUCCUACGGGACGCAGCAGUAAGGGAUAUUGGUCAAUGGGGGAAGCCCUGAACCAGCAACGCCGCGUGAGGGAAGACGGUUUUCGGAUUGUAAACCUCUGUCCUCUGUGAAGAUGACGACGGUAGCAGAGGAGGAAGCUCCGGCUAACUACGUGCCAGCAGCCGCGGUAAUACGGAGGAUGCGAGCGUUAUCCGGAUUUAUUGGGUUUAAAGGGUGCGUAGGCGGAAUGCCAAGUCAGCGGUAAAAUCGCGGGGCUCAACCUCGCUCCGCCGUUGAAACUGGCGUUCUUGAGUGGGCGAGAAGG
rnacentral:rRNA from 1 species